ACUACCCUUUAUUCCAUAAAUACCUAAAAAUAUAUAAAUUUGCUGUAGUCUGCUAUUUAAGAUAUUCGCGUAGAACACAUUUAAAGUUUGAAACCUAUGAUAUAAAUAUGGUAGGGCUUACAGAGCAAAGCAUGGUCUAAGCCGCCAGUGCAUAGAAGAUAAAUACCCCUACAUGUAUUUUAGGUGUUUUGCCUUUUCAACCCCCGUUGUUUAAGUGCAAAACGAGCUGAAAGAUAUGGAAGCGAUGGGCGACGCACCGAAAUAAAAGGAUUUUAAAAUGGUCAUUUGAUAUGAAUUAUGCGCGCUGGUGCAAUUACAGAAUUUCGCCCCUCUGACGAGUUCGCUGCGGCAUGAACUCAGACUCGUAGACCACCUCAGCUGGGAAUUUUCUCCCUCCCGGACAGUGAUGCUUUUUUGUGACUGUGAUGUGUUUUGAAGAGGUGUUUCCGGCUGCUGUUUGGGUCGGGCCGGUGGACCUCUUUUGGCGCCCGCGACUUGGACUUCAUCGUUAAAUAAUUAAAUCAGCUGCUAGACUAAUAUAUUUCUCUUAAUUACCAGUUUCUCAUGGCUAGCGCGUACACAAGUGUCCCAGCCAUUUGGAUCCUAUUUUGUGAUUUAUGUUGCCGCGCUCCAAUAUCUACUAUAGCUGAUAAGUUGCAUAUGCAUUGUGUAAUGGAUUUUCGGGCCAAAUAAACCUACCAAAUGGGCUGGGAUGUCCGGAAUUGAUUUGAUGCUACAUAUGUCUACUUUGCUUAGAUUCCAGUUACAUAUUUGUCAACGAAAAUAGUAUACCUUUUUCCUCUACGCGUAACGGGUAUAAUAAGAUAAAGCUAAGAGGGAACAACAAUUGUAAAAUGUAAAACUCUUUUUACGACUUGUGAAAAUAAAUUUGUAUUGUGUGCUAGUAUUGGCAAUUUCUUUAA